UACAGAGGUCUCAAGCGUUUGUUCGGAUUCAUUGGGCGUAAAGGGUGCGUAGGCGGCGCGGUAAGUCGGGUGUGAAAUUUCGGAGCUUAACUCCGAAACUGCAUUCGAUACUGCCGUGCUUGAGGACUGGAGAGGAGACUGGAAUUUACGGUGUAGCAGUGAAAUGCGUAGAGAUCGUAAGGAAGACCAGUGGCGAAGGCGGGUCUCUGGACAGUUCCUGACGCUGAGGCACGAAGGCCCAGGGGGAGCAAAACGGG
rnacentral:rRNA from 1 species